rnacentral:rRNA from 1 species
AUACGGAGGGUGCAAGCGUUAUCCGGAAUCAUUGGGUUUAAAGGGUCCGCAGGCGGAUUAAUAAGUCAGUGGUGAAAUCCUCUCGCUCAACGAGAGAACUGCCAUUGAAACUGUUAGUCUUGAAUUCGGUCGAAGUAGGCGGAAUGUGUCAUGUAGCGGUGAAAUGCAUAGAUAUGACACAGAACACCGAUAGCGAAGGCAGCUUACUAGACCUGGAUUGACGCUCAUGGACGGAAGCGUGGGGAGCGAACAGGAUUAGAUACCCCAGUAGUCC